rnacentral:lncRNA from 1 species
UCUUAGGUACUCACAGUUCUUUCCUGAUCUUCCCCGCCGCCUCCUGUAUUGCCUCUUUAUGGAAUCACUCCAUAUACUGAGUUACACAGCAUGGUUUGCCCGUGCUGCUGCCCCGCGGGCUGUCGCUUCUGACCUGCCUACACUCAGAACUUUCCCCAAAGCAUCAGAGUAAUACUGUUACUGUGAUGGGUAAUGGAGAAGUCGUGCUGUUCUCAGGUCGUGUUGCUUUGUCGCCCACGCUGGUUGCAGUGGUGCGAUCUCAGUUCACUGCAACCUUCGCCUCCCAGGUUCAAGCGAUUAUCCUGCCUCAGCUUCCCGAGCAGCUAGGACUACAGGAUCUCAGCUAAACGGGAAGCAUUUUUGAAAAGUGAUUGCACAAUUGAGAGUGAAAAUUACUGAGUCCUGAACAGGCAACUUACAUUCUAAUACCAGCUCUGUCUCCAUCCAGCCGACUGAAUAGUCGUGAUUAAGUUACUUGACUUCCUUGGAUAUCUAGAUCCUUAAAGUUAAAGAAUUAUACAAGAUAAUAAUAUUUUCUUCAAACUUUAGAAAAUGACUUUAUGAACCGCCUUAAGUUUGUAUGUUUUCAUAGCUUUCAAGAGCUUGUUUACACACUCAAUUCUAGAUUCUAGAUACUUUCUAGAAAAUAACUGACUUAACUCAUUCAAUUGAUAUAUUUGUUAGUUGUACUCCUACUCAUAUGCUUCAGUUAAUUAUAUAUGUUGAAC